UUAAGCGACUAAGCGUACACGGUGGAUGCCCUGGCAGUCAGAGGCGAUGAAGGACGUGCUAAUCUGCGAAAAGCGUCGGUAAGGUGAUAUGAACCGUUAUAACCGGCGAUGUCCGAAUGGGGAAACCCAGUGCAAUUCGUUGCACUAUCGUUAACUGAAUACAUAGGUUAACGAGGCGAACCGGGGGAACUGAAACAUCUAAGUACCCCGAGGAAAAGAAAUCAACCGAGAUUCCCCCAGUAGCGGCGAGCGAACGGGGAGCAGCCCAGAGUCUGAAUCAGCUUGUGUGUUAGUGGAACGGUCUGGAAAGUCCGACGGUACAGGGUGAUAGUCCCGUACACCAAAAUGCACAGGCUGUGAACUCGAAGAGUAGGGCGGGACACGUGGUAUCCUGUCUGAAUAUGGGGGGACCAUCCUCCAAGGCUAAAUACUCCUGACUGACCGAUAGUGAACCAGUACCGUGAGGGAAAGGCGAAAAGAACCCCGGCGAGGGGAGUGAAAAAGAACCUGAAACCGUGUACGUACAAGCAGUGGGAGCACCUUCGGGUGUGACUGCGUACCUUUUGUAUAAUGGGUCAGCGACUUAUAUUCUGUAGCAAGGUUAACCGUAUAGGGGAGCCGCAGGGAAACCGAGUCUUAACUGGGCGUUAAGUUGCAGGGUAUAGACCCGAAACCCGGUGAUCUAGCCAUGGGCAGGUUGAAGGUUGGGUAACACUAACUGGAGGACCGAACCGACUAAUGUUGAAAAAUUAGCGGAUGACUUGUGGCUGGGGGUGAAAGGCCAAUCAAACCGGGAGAUAGCUGGUUCUCCCCGAAAGCUAUUUAGGUAGCGCCUCGUGAAUUCAUCUUCGGGGGUAGAGCACUGUUUCGGCUAGGGGGUCAUCCCGACUUACCAACCCGAUGCAAACUACGAAUACCGAAGAAUGUUAUCACGGGAGACACACGGCGGGUGCUAACGUCCGUCGUGAAGAGGGAAACAACCCAGACCGCCAGCUAAGGUCCCAAAGUCAUGGUUAAGUGGGAAACGAUGUGGGAAGGCACAGACAGCCAGGAUGUUGGCUUAGAAGCAGCCAUCAUUUAAAGAAAGCGUAAUAGCUCACUGGUCGAGUCGGCCUGCGCGGAAGAUGUAACGGGGCUAAACCAUGCACCGAAGCUGCGGCAGCGACACUAUGUGUUGUUGGGUAGGGGAGCGUUCUGUAAGCCUGCGAAGGUGUGCUGUGAGGCAUGCUGGAGGUAUCAGAAGUGCGAAUGCUGACAUAAGUAACGAUAAAGCGGGUGAAAAGCCCGCUCGCCGGAAGACCAAGGGUUCCUGUCCAACGUUAAUCGGGGCAGGGUGAGUCGACCCCUAAGGCGAGGCCGAAAGGCGUAGUCGAUGGGAAACAGGUUAAUAUUCCUGUACUUGGUGUUACUGCGAAGGGGGACGGAGAAGGCUAUGUUAGCCGGGCGACGGUUGUCCCGGUUUAAGCAUGUAGGCUGGUUGUCCAGGCAAAUCCGGAUAAUCAAGGCUGAGGUGUGAUGACGAGGCACUACGGUGCUGAAGUAACAAAUGCCCUGCUUCCAGGAAAAGCCUCUAAGCAUCAGGUAACAUCAAAUCGUACCCCAAACCGACACAGGUGGUCAGGUAGAGAAUACCAAGGCGCUUGAGAGAACUCGGGUGAAGGAACUAGGCAAAAUGGUGCCGUAACUUCGGGAGAAGGCACGCUGGUGUGUAGGUGAAGCCCCUGCGGGUGGAGCUGAGACCAGUCGAAGAUACCAGCUGGCUGCAACUGUUUAUUAAAAACACAGCACUGUGCAAACACGAAAGUGGACGUAUACGGUGUGACGCCUGCCCGGUGCCGGAAGGUUAAUUGAUGGGGUUAUCCGUAAGGAGAAGCUCUUGAUCGAAGCCCCGGUAAACGGCGGCCGUAACUAUAACGGUCCUAAGGUAGCGAAAUUCCUUGUCGGGUAAGUUCCGACCUGCACGAAUGGCGUAAUGAUGGCCAGGCUGUCUCCACCCGAGACUCAGUGAAAUUGAACUCGCUGUGAAGAUGCAGUGUACCCGCGGCAAGACGGAAAGACCCCGUGAACCUUUACUAUAGCUUGACACUGAACAUUGAGCCUUGAUGUGUAGGAUAGGUGGGAGGCUUUGAAGCGUGGACGCCAGUCUGCGUGGAGCCAACCUUGAAAUACCACCCUUUAAUGUUUGAUGUUCUAACGUUGGCCCCUUACCGGGGUUGCGGACAGUGUCUGGUGGGUAGUUUGACUGGGGCGGUCUCCUCCCAAAGCGUAACGGAGGAGCACGAAGGUUAGCUAAUCCUGGUCGGACAUCAGGAGGUUAGUGCAAUGGCAUAAGCUAGCUUGACUGCGAGCGUGACGGCGCGAGCAGGUGCGAAAGCAGGUCAUAGUGAUCCGGUGGUUCUGAAUGGAAGGGCCAUCGCUCAACGGAUAAAAGGUACUCCGGGGAUAACAGGCUGAUACCGCCCAAGAGUUCAUAUCGACGGCGGUGUUUGGCACCUCGAUGUCGGCUCAUCACAUCCUGGGGCUGAAGUAGGUCCCAAGGGUAUGGCUGUUCGCCAUUUAAAGUGGUACGCGAGCUGGGUUUAGAACGUCGUGAGACAGUUCGGUCCCUAUCUGCCGUGGGCGCUGGAGAAUUGAGGGGGGCUGCUCCUAGUACGAGAGGACCGGAGUGGACGCAUCACUGGUGUUCGGGUUGUCAUGCCAAUGGCACUGCCCGGUAGCUAAAUGCGGAAGAGAUAAGUGCUGAAAGCAUCUAAGCACGAAACUUGCCCCGAGAUGAGUUCUCCCUGAGACUUUAAGUCUCCUGAAGGAACGUUGAAGACGACGACGUUGAUAGGCCGGGUGUGUAAGCGCAGCGAUGCGUUGAGCUAACCGGUACUAAUGAACCGUGAGGCUUAACCUU
rnacentral:rRNA from 1 species